GCAUUUGGUUUUUUUUUUAAAAAUAGCAAUCUUUGUGGCCAGAUACAACUUCCUUAAAUAGGAACGCCGUCCUAGAAAACUUUGGCACCAGUGUUGAAAAUAUCUGCUUUGGCAAAAACAUCCUUUGGUUACUUGACCUCUCUCAUUUACAAGGGCCUUUGGUCACUGGCUGUCAGCUGGAGAAAAAUGGGAUUUAGUUUCCUUUUUCCACCCUCUCCCUAAAUUAUUUUUAUUUUUAAAGGUAAGCAGAGCCCCCUCCGAAUACAGGACAAACGUGCCCUUUAAAACCUGGGAGUGGAAAAAAAUGUCUUUUUCUUAAAGAAACGGGAAUGUAGAUUUUGUACUCCGCUUCUCUGUCGCAAUUUCUAAGCUUGGCUUUUAAUCUGUGCUGCAACCUAUGUAGCAGUUUUGGGAUUAGAGCAUUAAAAACAAACAAACAAAACCUUUCACCAUC